GACGUAGGGCGCGAGCGUUGUCCGGAUUUAUUGGGCGUAAAGAGCUCGUAGGCGGUCUGUCGCGUCGUCCGUGAAAACCUGCGGCUCAACUGCAGGCUGGCGGUCGAUACGGGCAGGCUGGAGUUCGGUAGGGAGACUGGAAUUCCUGGUGUAGCGGUGAAAUGCGCAGAGUAUCAGGAGGAACACCGGUGGCGAAGCGGGUCUCUGGGCCG
rnacentral:rRNA from 1 species